rnacentral:lncRNA from 1 species
GCUGGUGGGUUUUGAGUCUUCACUUUAUUACUAUGUCACCAGAAGUCACCACCUUCACUGGUUCACCACAAAUGGACGGAUGUCAUAGAGGAGGGUGCCAUGGGGCCACUGGAUUCACUCGUGAGAGACUUAACCAGGUGGUGGGGGAGUCCAGAGUGGGGGCCCAGGAUGGGGACUGCCAUUCACUGCGCACACGCACACACACACAGAUAUAUUUGUGGAGCCUUAUAUUAUACAUCUUAUAUAUAGAAAAUAUAUAUAUUUAUACUAUACACAGGCAGUAACGCUGCGGGCAGGGCGGGGGCACCCAGACAAGGGCUGUGGGCACCUGGGUACGGGGAGUGUCACAUUGAGGGGCAGCGCCAGGAGAUGGGUGGACACGUCCAUCCUCCCACAAACUCUUGUUGGGAGGGGGGUAGUACGGGGGGGUGGUCUUGGUUACAUGGGGGAAGCCUGAGAUCCCCAACAGACUUUGAAGAUCAAGAAUCACCUGGGAAGGCAGGAGUGGGGAGCAGAUGCUGGGACCCUCUGAGCUGGCCCCAACAGUUACACCCCCAGGUGUGGCAGGAGCCACACCCAGGCAGAUGACCUGUGACUGCACAAUCAGAGGCUGGAGACCUGGAUCUGGAACCUCUAGCUCUGUGCUUAACCAUGGACAAGUCACUGUCUUCCUGGCCCAGACUUCACCCCUGUAAGGGUCCUCGAAGCUCUAAACUCGUGUGGAACUCAGUUUUCCUUGGCCCUCUCUAGUACUCGAUGGGAGGAGGGGGUCCAAACUCAGCAAGGUCAGACUGCAGGGGUGCCCUUCUCCAAGGAAAGGCUUGGAAGCAGGGGGGAGGCAGAGGAGGGGCAGCAGGGAGGGAAAGGGGGUGCCACUGACCUGUGAGCACUGGCUCCAGGCUUGAGGCCUCCAGGGGAUUGUCCCCAGCCAACAGAAGCAGCAAGACUUGCCCACCGACCACUCAGAAGGGGAGUCAGGAGCCCUGGGUCUCAAUUAAAUCCUGCGCUCCACAUCUCUGGUCCUCUCUUUCUCACCCACCAGGGCACAGCCUGACCCCGGAUGGGGUCCUGCCUGGGCGGCACCCCAGGACUAGUGGGGAAUGCUGAGUGAAAUGACUCAGCACCCCCAUUCCUGGCAGGGGGUCUGGUAAACCUUCCCAUUCUGGGGUGGCAGGGAGACGCUGUAAUAAAUAUGCAGUACCUUGCUCUCUCACCCAGCAUCACCAGCAGCUGGUCAGUGCCAGGGGAACAGACAGGCAGCACCCUGGGGUCUCCCCAGCAAGGGAGGCUUUUGAUAGGGAGGAGACGAGGGGGAGGACUUCUCAUAGCAUCCUGUGUGGACACCAAACUUCUCUUUGCCAGAAACAGACCACAUCCACCUGCACCCUGACCUGCUUUGCAAACCUCUGGUCUAGUGCAGCCCCACUGCUCAACUUGGAGGAUACCAGAGUCCCAGCCUGUUCCAACCUGGGCCACCUGGGGGAGCCCCUUCCCCAGACGUGGAAAGUUGAAGUCCCCAACAAGCAGCUGUCAUCCGGCUGUCUGGGGUCCUCUCCCGUCACCGCUGCCCCUUGGGAGGACUUGAUCAGACCUGAUCCAUGCUCCACUGCUAACUCACUCGCGCGCUGAGCCUCAGUUUCUCCUUCUGUUAAGUGGGGGCAAUGAUGCUGCUUCUCUGCCAAGGAAAUUCCCGCUCCUUCCCUCACUGCCACACUAACACCUACCCAUCCUCCGGGCCCCUCCGUGGGAACCCGCAUCCAUACAGCUGUACUCACACAGCGCCUGGCCCCUGUAAGGGACCCUGGGUCCAGCGGUCGGUUUAACGCUCAUCUCUGAGGAUAGUCAGCUCCUCAAGGGCAGACACCCCACCCUCUGUGUUCCCGCCACAAAUGCCCCAUCACUGCUGAGUCAACAGGCAAGUGGGUGGCUAUGACCUGCCUCUUAGGGUUCUCGUGGGGGCUGGUGGUGGGAACACCCAGCACUGUGCCAACCCACAAUCCCGCUGCCCCACUCCCCGAGGCAAUGGCAGGUGGACACCGUCCCCACAGUCUCCCCGCUUCAAGGUCUGCCCAUCCUAUAAGGCUCAGUGGAGAGCCUGCAUUGUCCAAGAGUCCCUCCUCACACCCCCCGUGCCUCGGGGGACACCUGCCACCCUCUCCCCUGACCUGUGGCCUCCCCCAGACUUCCAUGCCUGAGGGGCUCUUGCCACUCAUCUUGGGGACAGUCUGUCCCACGGCAGCAGCUUCCAGGUGGAGGCCAAGCUGGGUCUAGAGCCCUGUCUUCCCACAGGGAGCCCAGUCACUUGGCAGGCCUUCUGGAAGACCUUGGCUUGGCCAUCCCCGCCCCUCGGCCCCCAGCUGACCCCGGAUGAAGGAAAGAUGACACAGUGCCCCAGAUCAGUUCUGUUUCCUGGGAGGUCGCAGGGGCAGGGAAGGGGGCACCUGCUGGGUGGCUGGGACCAAGUAGCCCAGGUAGCAAGCCCAGCUCUGCCACUCACUCACUGUGAUCCUGGGCCGGGCACUCCCUCUCCAGGCCUCCUUGUCCACCUAGCCCCAGGCAGGGACUUAGCACGCCACUCCUAGAGGCAGGGACAGUAGUCAUUCCGUCGGGAGGCCGUGAAGGCCUGCUGGAGCUCCUGGGAGGAUGCACACAGCUCGGAGUGGUACAUGGGAGC